CUAAUAAAAGGAGAUUUUUUUUUUCUGGACUUUUUAUUCACCAAUUUGGUAAUGUUUAUUUUGUAUUAUUGUCUUAGGGGAGGGAAUUAGAUAAUAGGAUUCUUUCUUAUUCUGUGUUGUGCUAUUGCGCCUCUGCAUCAUCAAGUAUGUAUUCUAUUUAAAAAUACUUAGGAUUUUAUUCCUCCUCUUCCCUUUCAAAUUAGUAAUUAUCAAAGUAAUUCAUUUUUCCAUUUUGUAAAUAAUAAAGAUUUCUCUUUUACCCAUUUGUUCCCUUUCUUGCCUGCCUUCCUUUCAAUGGAAGUGACAUUUUACUGAUGGUUUAUCAGUCUGGGUAUCCUGCUGGGAAGUAGAUUGAGAUUUAAAAAAAUCAACUUACCAUUGGAAUGAAUGGGUAAUUGGAGACUUGCUACAAAGUUCUAAUUUUUUUUAAGUGCUUAAUUUGACAGUGGUUUACCUACUGUUCAGCUGACUCAAAAUGAAUUAUUAUGCAAAGAACUGGGUUUCACAUUCAUUUUGAUGUUAUGAUAUGUUUCAGACAGUCUAGAAAAAAUUUGAUUUUUCAUCAAACCUUACAAAUUUUAUAGCAUAUGUGCUAUAAAGAAAAUUAUGGGGUUUUUUAACUGUGUUAAUUAUGUAUGUGGCUAAUCUUCACAUUUAGUGUAUUAGCCUGACUGCAUUAAAUAAGUA
rnacentral:lncRNA from 1 species